rnacentral:tRNA from 1 species
GCUGGAGUAGCUCAGAAGGUAGAGCGGCACUCUGAAGACGUGCGCGUCGGCAGCUCGAAACUGUCCUCCAGCGCCA